GAUGAACGCUGGCGGCGUGCCUAAUACAUGCAAGUCGAGCGAACAGACGAGGAGCUUGCUCCUCUGACGUUAGCGGCGGACGGGUGAGUAACACGUGGAUAACCUACCUAUAAGACUGGGAUAACUUCGGGAAACCGGAGCUAAUACCGGAUAAUAUAUUGAACCGCAUGGUUCAAUAGUGAAAGACGGUUUUGCUGUCACUUAUAGAUGGAUCCGCGCCGCAUUAGCUAGUUGGUAAGGUAACGGCUUACCAAGGCAACGAUGCGUAGCCGACCUGAGAGGGUGAUCGGCCACACUGGAACUGAGACACGGUCCAGACUCCUACGGGAGGCAGCAGUAGGGAAUCUUCCGCAAUGGGCGAAAGCCUGACGGAGCAACGCCGCGUGAGUGAUGAAGAUCUUCGGGUCGUAAAACUCUGUUAUUAGGGAAGAACAGAUGUGUAAGUAACUAUGCACGUCUUGACGGUACCUAAUCAGAAAGCCACGGCUAACUACGUG
rnacentral:rRNA from 1 species